UGCGCAGGCGGCUGAUUAAGUCGGAUGUGAAAGCCCCGGGCUCAACCUGGGAAUGGCAUUCGAUACUGGUCAGCUAGAGUCUGGUAGAGGUAAGCGGAAUUCCGGGUGUAGCGGUGAAAUGCGUAGAUAUCCGGAGGAACAUCAGUGGCGAAGGCGGCUUACUGGACCAAGACUGACGCUCAGGCACGAAAGCGUGGGUAGCAAACA
rnacentral:rRNA from 1 species